AUGUCCUUUGAGUGCUUUACCUCUUCGAGGAAUACCAGACCUUGUCUUCCAUGUUUUUUAACCAGAGAGGUGUGUGAAGCUAUCAGCCUCAACUAUGCAGCCUUUGGAAGUGGAAGUGACCAAAGUACUCAAUGGCACAGUGGCUAGCAUCUAAAAUGGGCUCUCAGCUUCUCAGGGAGAAGGGGCUGGCAAGGUCAGCAGUAGUCUAGUGUUUUGGACCUGAUCCCCACCUGCACCCCAGGCUUCCCCGCAGUCUCAAAGAGGAACCCUGUGGAGGAGAGGUGGAAAUUAGGGACCAGGAGACUGAAAGAGAAAUCACUAACCUCCUCCCUUUGUUCUGCAGUAUGAGCUGGGGCAUCAGAGGGAAACAAAGCCCUUAGAGAAGGAAACCUCCACUUCAUUUGCGUCUCCACAGACCCCUGCCAGAAAACCAAGACAGGAUUAAACUGCUCUGGGAUACCCGAGGGAUGGCUUCUGUAGAAACUUCUAGAAAUUCCUGCCAGUCAGACAGACUUGGUUUUCAGCAUUACCAGAGUACUGGAAGGGGGUGCUUGCCCCAAUUCCAUAUCCAAACCAAGGCGGUUGUAACUGGCAUCUUCAAUUGCGCUCUCCAUAAUUUGACAGAAUCAGGAAUCAAGGUACCAUUAGGUCCCAGAAAGAACAACAAACUUCACUAAGAAAAAACAAAUACAGCAUUGAGCACGGAUGGACGCAUACGAACUCCCUGAAAUACCAUCUCCAGUCUCACUUCCUGGGGACCCGGGGUGGGGAGUGGAAGGGGGAGGGAUGGUGUAAAAAAAUCUUAGCCGAUUUGAAAAGAUAACGAUUACAUUGUCUGAGUUUAAAGUUCUCAACUCCAAUCAUAGUAAUAAAGUUAUAAUUGGUUACAUUGCUCCAUGUAACUGGUGUUUUAUUAGUGACCCAACUUAGUUUUGUGGCAAAAUACAGGUGGUUCAGAACCCAUAAAGGGAAGCUACUCCCUCUCAGGCAACC